rnacentral:rRNA from 1 species
UACGAAGGGGGCUAGCGUUGUUCGGAAUUACUGGGCGUAAAGCGCGCGCAGGCGGCUAUCCAAGUCAGUGGUGAAAGCCCGGAGCUCAACUCCGGAACUGCCAUUGAAACUGUUUAGCUUGAGGAUGAGAGAGGUGAGUGGAAUUCCCAGUGUAGAGGUGAAAUUCGUAGAUAUUGGGAAGAACACCUGCGGCGAAGGCGGGUUGCUGGGCUGACACUGACGCUGAGGCGCGAAAGCUAGGGGAGCGAACGGG